rnacentral:rRNA from 1 species
AUCGAACGCUGGCGGCAUGCCUUACACAUGCAAGUCGAACGGUAACAGGUCUUCGGAUGCUGACGAGUGGCGAACGGGUGAGUAAUACAUCGGAACGUGCCUAGUAGUGGGGGAUAACUACUCGAGAGAGUGGCUAAUACCGCAUGAGAUCUACGGAUGAAAGCAGGGGAUCGCAAGACCUUGUGCUACUAGAGCGGCCGAUGGCAGAUUAGGUAGUUGGUGGGAUAAAAGCUUACCAAGCCGACGAUCUGUAGCUGGUCUGAGAGGACGAUCAGCCACACUGGGACUGAGACACGGCCCAGACUCCUACGGGAGGCAGCAGUGGGAAAUUUUGGACAAUGGGCGAAAGCCUGAUCCAGCAAUGCCGCGUGCAGGAUGAAGGCCUUCGGGUUGUAAACUGCUUUUGUACGGAACGAAAAGCCCCGGGUUAAUACCCUGGGGUCAUGACGGUACCGUAAGAAUAAGCACCGGCUAACUACGUGCCAGCAGCCGCAGUAA